rnacentral:lncRNA from 1 species
AACACAUACCUUUUUGACGUUAAACUCUUGACUUGCUGCACAAAAAAUUCACCCAAGAACGCGUCUAAACCUCCUCAAUAUCAACUCCACUCGAAUGACAACCUCCCUUAUCCUAGUGUGCGAUCAAUGUUUGUUUUCUUGUGAUUUUGUAUGAGUUAUUCAAGUGUGAAGAACUUGGUUUAUUUUUCAGCUUUUGUAUCUUAUUUUGGUAGAGAAUUUUCGUGUGAAAUAAGAAGGGAGAUUGAGCUCGAGAGUUGAAAGAUAGACGUGAGAGAGUAGGAGUUAUAUUAGGCUUAGGAGUCUAGUUUAGGACUUAGUCAAAUAAGGUUUACUUAAUUAUUAAAAAUCUGAUUUUUAUUUUAUUUUAAAUCAGCUAAUAAAUAAUAAUUAUUAAUUAAUUAUAUUAAUUCAAUAGCUUAAAUAAAAAUCACAUUAAUUAAUUGCUUCCACGUAAGUUCGAACCCGGGUGAAGCAAGACUUCACUUCAACAGCUCAAUUUCGGCUCUCUCUCUCCAAAUUGCCCCUCCACUUAUUAAUUAAAUAAUUUAUUAUAUUUAGGGUAAUUACGAUGUUACCCCUAGACUGGAAAAAGAUCAUUUUACCCCUAGACCCUCCAAAACCUAAGAUUUCCUCUUUUUAAGUCCGUAAAGACUCCCUCGAGUAAAUCUUCGUAUUCGAGAACCCUACAUGGUUGGACCCAACCUUCCUAGAUCAACUAACUCCCAAGUUAGUUGGUUUGGAUGUAGCAAGCGUUUCGAAGUCUGAUUUUAUGCGCAUCAAUCCGUGUGAACCCUGGUCUAAUCACAGGCAUUCUUUGACACAUUAAGUAUCACUUAGUAUAUCCAUUUUUAGGGUUUGUUACAAGAACGAUCUUAGAACAGCAACAAUUUCCACAGUAUCGGACGGCAACGAGAAGACUCGAAAACUCUGUCGAGUCUCAAACGGAAAAUUGAAGAUACAGAAUGUAAAUGAGUCAAAAAUGGGAAGCUUCGACCAAAACUAUAUUGUUAUUCCUUCGAACGUAAUUGAUAUUUGUGUAUAUAUAUAUUCUCUGUUUCGUAUGUGGUUUAUUUUGUGUUUCAUGCUCGCCAGAAAGCUUCAAAUCCUUCAAUUCCUCUUCUCUUUCUCUGUAUUUCUUUACUCUGAAAAAAUCACAAACUCAAGGAAAGUUUUUUUUUUUCUCUCUCCUCUUCUUUCUUCAAAGCGAUUAUAUAUAGCAAGAGAAUAGGGUUUUCGAAUUUUGGGGGGGGGGGGGGGGAUGGUAGAAUCGACAAAUCGAGCCCCAAAAUUCAAAAUCACCUCCCCAAGGACCAAGGAAAGCUACCUCUUUGUACCAAUAAUGGCCAAAUCCCCCAAAAUCCGAUGACCAAGGAUUGACAGAUCCCAACGGGAUGGCUAAGGAUUGCAAUCUACAAAGCAGAUCGGGUCUUCUCUCCUGUUCUUCCAUCGUACUCGUUGUUCACGCCCAUCCAAGGACCAGACAAGAAGAUGGAAGACAAGGAGAAGGACAAAAGAAAGGGGAAAGAUACGGGUGAAAGCGACGCAGCGCUAGCUUCUUACGUACCGCAGGUUCACGCCCUUGGUACGAAUCUAGAUAGAGGAAAAGAAAUUGGAGAAGGAAAUGCUCUAUAACGCGUUGGAUUUCUCAUCACCGAUUCCGAAGGGAAAGAGGAACAGGGGUCGGGUUCUGAUAUUUUGGAUUGGAAUGGAGGCUAAUGGGAUAAUUAUUGGACAGGUUGGGCUUACUGAAUUGAGAAAAAGGAAAAACGGUUGGGUCAAGGGAGUUGGGCAGAUAAAAGAAAAAUGCACGCUGGGCUCGGCAUUUUGAAUUAGAUUUAGCUGAACAAAAAAUAAAAGCUGAGUCACAGGAUUGUUGUUGUAAUUAUAUUAGGUUGGGAAUCGAAUAAAAAGGUUUGGGCUUGAAGUAGUGGGCUGCUACACAAAAAGAGAUGGAGUCCAAAAUUUGGUCUUAUACAACUAAAUGGAUUGUUAAUUUAACCAAAUUGGAACUUUAUUAUAAAUCUGGCGAAACAUAGAUUGGACAAGCUCUUAGUAAUUAAUUAACGAGUUUCUUAAUUUUGACGAAAUAAAAUAAUUAAUUUAGUCAAAUAAUUUAAAAUAAACUAUUAUUAAACAAUUAAGCUAAUUAACCAAAUAUUUAGCAGAAUUUUUUUGAGACGGUUUUCGAGUGUACAUAUAAUUACGUAAAUUGUAUAUAUUAACUAAAAAUUUAUGAUGAGUGAUGAGAUUAAUUUAAAAUAACUUAAAAUACCUUAAAUCUUAUUAUUUCAAAUCGUUAGAAUCAAGAAGCUCGUUAAUUAAUUCAUAUCGUUAAUAAAUAAUGAGGCGUGAGCCAUAACACGACAUUAAUACUUCAAACUUAUGAGUGUCCACAUAUAUCUAACUUCAUUUCUGACAUAUCGAUAUCUUACAAUAUAACAAUCACUUACCAACUCUGCAAUAAUUAAGUAGUCACACAAUCAAUAAAUCAUAUCCUUACUGAUCUCUCACAAUAUAAUCUUUGAUCUCAUCAGUUUCAACUAUUUCAUCACUCGCCCACACAAUUGCUCAUCUAUACACAUGCUAUAGAGUUGUUAAUUUUGCUCAUCUAGUAAUAAAUUAUGGGGAAUCAAGUGUCUUUGUAUCAUAUCGAAAUGGUACUCGAUUCCACACAUAAUCACUCACAUCAGGCUCAACCACUCAUCAUCAAAAUAAUAUAUAUAUAUCCAAUCACAUAAUCAUGUAUCUUAUCAAUGUUAAGCCACAUAGGAUUUUAAAAUGUCACAUUGAAAAUGUUUAAAAUAGAGGUAUAUGUGAUGAGUAUCUUAUCAACGAGAUUAUAAAUAGCUCUAUAAUAAACGAAGAACGAACUUAACUAAUAAAUUAAAAUUAAAAUGGUAUUUUUCAACUCCUUUUCCUAAUUUUUUUUUUAAAAAAAAAACUAUAAUUCAAAAUUCAUUCACUUGUGCACUAGUUGGUCUUCUUGGAAAACUGUCCUGGAGCUCUUGUUCACAUGUUGGUCAUUCUAAAAUGUUUUAUUUUGGAGGAAGCAUCUCUUGACAGUAUUCUGUAAUUCAAUCAUACAGUGAACAACCUUUUCAGAUAUUCUAAAAGGGAAAAUAGACUAUAUAUAUAUAUAUAUAUAUUGAGGAAAAGUAAUAAAUGUGUUAAUGUGAGCUAAUAAUAAGAGAUAUUAAUGCUUGGAAGGGUUCCCGUUAAAAGAAUCAACAUUGCCUAUUCAUUUUAAAUAUCAUAAAAGUCAAAAUAGCUCAAUUUUACAUUAAAAUAUUUUUUAUAAAUCUUGGUGUUUAAACCAGCUUGCGCACACCUCAACUAAUUUCAACAUACCUCGUAAAUAUCAAAUAACUCUAAUCAUCAAGAAAGAUAAGAAGGAAUCAUCUAAUCUUUGUUUCGAUGAAAUUGAACUUGAACCUCAUGAUUAUUAACCAACUACAUAUACAUUAAUCACUUAGUCACACCGUUAAAAGCACAAUUAAAAAUUAAUAAUACACUAUGAAUAACAAAAAAAAAGCAAAAUAUGUGAGACGAAAUAAAAGUGGUAACAUUAUCCAUAUGAAUUGGAUAUGGUACCAUGUGGCAGCGUGUCAGUGGAUGGAGCAAUGUCGUGUGGUAGUUAGGUUGAUCUUUUGUCCAGGAAAAAGAUAUCCCAUUAACUCAAAGCCUCUCAAAUCCUACUUCUGCUUUUGCUCUUUACAUUAAUUUUCAUCAUUCCUCUGCAGCAGAAGAACAAGUUCAGACAAAGAAACACAAAAAAAAAGCAUGGCAAGUAGCAGCAUGGCUUCUGCUGCAUCUGGUUUUAUGGUGGCAACCCCUAAUGUCACCUCUAACUCUGCUCCAAAGAGCUCUAUGUUAUCUUUCUCCUCCAAGAACACCACCACCAACAUCCCCAGGCUCGUUGUACGGGCCGCGGAAGAAGCUGCACCACCAGCUCCUACUGCCACCGCUGAAGGCGAAGCUCCUCCUGCCAAAGCUGUCAAGCCACCUCCAAUUGGACCCAAGAGAGGAACCAAAGUAAGUUGUUCAAUAAAAGAAAUAAGACCAACUUAUCUCUUAUAUAGUAUGUAUUCACACUGAUGAUUCAAGAUUUAAAAGCAGUAAAAGUAUAUAGACACAUAUAUAUAGAUGCUACUUCAACAUUUAAGAUUGGAUUCUAACAUACAGGUUGUUAUCACAAAAACUCAAUCUACUUAAGAAAUUAUGGGCUCAAAAAAAAACAGCACACUUGUGUAUAAAUAUCAUUAAUUUUUAUCCAAGUAUUAUAGUUUAAGUCUGUUAUAGUAGGCAUUUGUACAUCCACAGUCUCUUAUGGUGGUGUCCUCAGCUCAGGCUGUUCAUUACCAAUUGAUUCUUAAAAUGUUCUGAAUACAGGUGAGAAUUUUAAGAAAGGAGUCCUACUGGUACAAGGGUACCGGCUCAGUUGUAGCAGUUGAUCAGGUAAGGGAAUUGAUUGGAAUCCAUGUUCUUUGUCACUUGUGAGAGUUGAAAUUUAAUACCUUUUGAUGUUAUUGUUAAUGGUGAUGUUGCAGGAUCCAAAAACACGCUAUCCAGUUGUAGUGAGGUUCAACAAAGUGAACUAUGCUAAUGUAUCCACUAACAACUACGCAUUGGACGAAGUUGAAGAAGUGAAAUGAAGGAGUGGAAGUAAUUAGUUCAAGGUUUUCCAUAUUUGUAAUUUGUCCAGCCCGUGUGCUUUCCAUGUUUUAUCUCUAGUUAUAUACUGGCUUUGAAUGUGAAUGUGUAUCAUAAUUUUCUGGCAACUUUCUCCCCCCAUUUCUUAUUUAGCGUGUUGCCAUUACUCGAUCCCGUUCGUACGAUCUUGCGAACAUCAUGUUGGAGAGGUUUGUGUCUGUAUGACGGGUCUACACCUUAAGGUAGACUAUCUAAUUAAGGACAUAAAGAAUGAUCAGAACCCCCAAAAUACUAACAUAUUUGCUGUGCUUUUUGGUAACUAAGUGUGAAUCAUAUGCUACCUUGUAUAGAUAACAGUUAUAUGGCUAAAACAGCACAAAUUAAAUCAUGGUUCAGAACUCAAAGAGAGGAAAGAGUUUUUACCUCAAUGCAGUAACAGGGCACGGGAUCCAUUCACCGUUCUAUUCCUGUCUUUUGGCUUACACUUUAAUUGAUCUCUCUUGUUUCCAUUCCAUUGUGAGAUGAUAGUGAUCAAAGUAGC